GAUGAACGCUAGCGGCAGGCCUAAUACAUGCAAGUCGAACGGUGUCUUCGGACAUAGUGGCGCACGGGUGCGUAACACGUAUGCAACCUACCUUACAUUGGGGGAUAGCCUUUCGAAAGGGAGAUUAAUACCGCAUAAGACAGUAGCUGGGCAUCCAGCAGCUGUUAAAGAUUUAUCGAUGUAAGCUGGGCAUGCGUCCAAUUAGCUAGUUGGUGAGGUAACGGCUCACCAAGGCAAUGAUUGGUAGGGGAACUGAGAGGUCAAUCCCCCACACUGGAACUGAGAUACGGUCCAGACUCCUACGGGAGGCAGCAGUAGGGAAUAUUGGGCAAUGGACGCAAGUCUGACCCAGCCAUGCCGCGUGCAGGAUGAAGGCGUUAUGCGUUGUAAACUGCUUUUAUACAGGAAGAAACGACUCUUGCGAGAGGCAUUGACGGUACUGUAUGAAUAAGCACCGGCUAACUCCGUGCCAGCCGCCGCCGUAAUAC
rnacentral:rRNA from 1 species